UUUCACAAUUAUUAUAUUGUCGAAAACUUGAAAGCUUAUUCAUUCUUUUCAAUCAUGAUAUAUAUCUUUUUUGUAUGUAAAACUUGCUGGGCAAAUUUGUUGCUCACCCUUGCUAUAUCAUGAUAAAAUUUUCAGAUUAAGAUGAAGGCUUGAAUAAGGACAGAGGCAAAGACAAAGUGCAAAGUUUCUUUAUGUUGUAGUUAAAUUUAUUAAAUUUUCUGAUGAAAAUAGUAUUGUAAAUCUUCUAAGAUAUUGAAGGUAUGUAUUAAGUUAAGGUUGUAGACCUUGGGAAUGAUGUGUAAAAGUUUAAUGUAUAAACAAUUUAUGUUUAUAUCUUCCGCAAUAGUGAUAGAAAUAGUAUACCGGAUCCGUGGCGAUUUGGGACCCGGAUUCGGGGAUGCUACA
rnacentral:lncRNA from 1 species